rnacentral:rRNA from 1 species
UGAGGAAUAUUGGUCAAUGGGCGAGAGCCUGAACCAGCCAAGUAGCGUGCAGGAAGACGGCCCUAUGGGUUGUAAACUGCUUUUGUAUGGGGAUAAAGUCAAUCACGUGUGAUUGUUUGCAGGUACCAUACGAAUAAGGACCGGCUAAUUCCGUGCCAGCAGCCGCGGUAAUACGGAAGGUCCGGGCGUUAUCCGGAUUUAUUGGGUUUAAAGGGAGCGUAGGCUGGAGAUUAAGUGUGUUGUGAAAUGUAGACGCUCAACGUCUGACUUGCAGCGCAUACUGGUUUCCUUGAGUACGCACAACGUUGGCGGAAUUCGUCGUGUAGCGGUGAAAUGCUUAGAUAUGACGAAGAACUCCGAUUGCGAAGGCAGCUGACGGGAGCGCAACUGACGCUGAAGCUCGAAGGUGCGGGUAUCGAACAGGAUUAGAUACCCUGGUAGUCCGCACAGUAAACGAUGGAUGCCCGCUGUUGGUACCUGGUAUCAGCGGCUAAGCGAAAGCAUUAAGCAUCCCACCUGGGGAGUACGCCGGCAACGGU